GGGUUGGUAGCUCAGUGGUAGAGCAUCCGGCUUUUAACCGGUCGGUCGAGGGUUCGACCCCCUCCCAACCCA
rnacentral:tRNA from 1 species